AUGUAUUUGGAUGCUCAGCGUAGCUGGAUGUAUAGUGGGUGGAAGGAUAGUGGAAGACAUUCUGAUGAGUGGAUACGAAAUACAAAUGCUUUUGUGAACCAUGUUUUUGAGGGUGUCCAUAGUGCCAUGUUUGGAGUUUCCUGUCCUUGCUCAAAAUGUUGUAAUGCUAGUAGAAGAACAAAACAAUUGAUGACCUCUCAUCUUUGUCAUUGGGGGUUCAUGCCCAACUACUUUAGAUGGAUUGCACAUGGGGAGCGUCAUGCUCAUGUAGAUAGCGUGGAGUCUGUCAACACUGAUUGCUUAGAAGACAUGUUGUGUGACUUUGGGGAUUAA
rnacentral:rRNA from 1 species